AGUGAACGCUGGCGGUAGGCCUAACACAUGCAAGUCGAACGGCAGCACAGUAAGAGCUUGCUCUUACGGGUGGCGAGUGGCGGACGGGUGAGGAAUACAUCGGAAUCUACUUUUUCGUGGGGGAUAACGUAGGGAAACUUACGCUAAUACCGCAUACGACCUACGGGUGAAAGCAGGGGAUCUUCGGACCUUGCGCGAUUGAAUGAGCCGAUGUCGGAUUAGCUAGUUGGCGGGGUAAAGGCCCACCAAGGCGACGAUCCGUAGCUGGUCUGAGAGGAUGAUCAGCCACACUGGGACUGAGACACGGUCCAGAAUCCUACGGGAGGCAGCAGUGGGGAAUAUUGGACAAUGGGCGCAAGCCUGAUCCAGCCAUACCGCGUGGGGGAAGAAGGCCUUCGGGUUGUAAAGCCCUUUUGUUGGGAAAGAAAAGCAGCAGGUUAAUACCCCGCUGUUCUGACGGUACCCAAAGAAUAAGCACCGGCUAACUUCGUGC
rnacentral:rRNA from 1 species